UUUUUUUGACAAUUCUGUGCUUUUUUUAUUUAUUUAUUUUAUUUGAACUUGAUCCUCGAUGGUAGCCAAUGCUGUUUUGAAGUGGGUUUCUUCAAGAAUCGAGCAUACUUUUUGUUUGGCAGUUUACAAGAUUGCUUUUGGAUUGCGUUGAUUCCAAGACAUGACCUGAAUUCCGUUUGAUUUCAACAUGAAAAUGGUGGUGGAUAAGUUGGUGUUACGUUCGAUGGAGGACCCUGUGUUUGUUGGCUCUGGCGACAUCUUAAGAAUGCUCCGUUGACGGAUAGUUCCAUCGAAAUUAGUUGUACUGAGCGGGUCUUAGUUCGGGAAAUAAUUUUCCACACUUGAAUCACUGGAGUCAUGACGCUGGAGCAGGACCUGGUUUCUUAGUGGCGUGGAGUGUCCCACUAUAACCCCAUAGCUUGGCUGCUUCAAGGGGUUUGAGAUGCAUUUUCACAAGCAGCUUGCAGGGAACUUGGUUUUAGGGUUGACCGGUCACAACGCUGGAGCAUAUUCUCUCCUUUCUUAAAGUCCCUUCAUUCGAAAAUGAAUUGCGCUAUAAUUAGACAAGCCGUUGAUCGGCUGUUGUGUGCAGCCUAGAAGAAAGGUGCCAACCGGGCAGGAUUCACCGUAGUUGUGUGGAUAGUCGGUUCACGAUGCUCCUUGCUUCUCUGUCUUUCAUGUCUGCUUUUUCGUGUUAUUGUAGCACUUCUGUACAUGGCUGUUGAUCUAAAUUACUCGCUUUAAACUAAUUGCAGGUCAUACGGCGGAAUAAUUGCACAAUCCUUUUAGUUCCGAUGUCGAGGUACUGGCUUAAAGUAGGUCAACAUACGGGAGGUGUUGCGAACACAUGGGACAGCUUUACAGGAACAAAGAGUCAGGAAUUGGAAGGACCUGAUGAAGUUAUCUAGGCUAGAGAGGAUUCCGAAAUGGCUGCGAGUGCUGCUUUGUCAUCUCUGUGUUUUAUGUGUGCGAGAUGGCAAACCGGAGGGUAACUACUCCGAGUAGAAUCUGAAGAUGUAAGGGCUUAGCCUUGGAAUUCUGACACUGCUGCAUCCACGGCUGUGCCCUUCGGUAAUUGUGGUUGUAAAACAUUGCGGUGACUUCACUCCAGGCGAUAGAGUAUUCUUCCUGUUUAUUUAACUUAAACUGGGUAGUGUUAGAUGAUAUAUUGGCGAUACUUCUUCUCCACGUAUCUACUUCUUGGGAAGUAAAAUGUGCUCUCUAUUCUGCAAUUUUUAAGUAGUUCCUUAGGGUCUUUUCAAGCACCAUUCAUAUGGGUUUCCAGGCAUAACCUUCUGGUGACAUCUCCGAAAGCUUACACCGCACUUUCUGGAUCCACUGAACCUUUGCUGACGGCUAAUCGCGAACAUGGCAUGACAAAAUCGUAUGGCCUUUUCAUCAAAACAGGAGAGGUUCAAGUCGAGUUUGUGAUCUUAAACUUCACCUUCUCGACGUGCAGCAUUAGCAGUACGUGCAGCCAUUUCAAGAAUGGUCACAUGCUUCCUUCAUCUAGUACCAGACGCGGUACAGCGUUCGAUACACUUCGACGGUUGAGCUUUUGUGAAAGCCGUAAGAACGCAGUCUGCAUCAUCCACUUCUUCUGCUGCUAUGACAUCUGAAUUUAUGGUACCAUGUGGCGCGCAUGAAAGAACGCAGACGACUACAGCAGCUAACAAGUCACUUACGGCCCAGCUCAACACCUCAUAUCCAAUCUACAAAAGAGUUGUAAAAACAUACUAUUACUGACAACAACUUCACUUAGUGACCCAUCACCUCCAGUGGCUUCAUCACAGCAACAGCUGUUUAGGCACGUUGGACACAAACCCAAACAACUAGUACUUCAUUGUACGUUGAAUGUAGUCUGCAAGAUUUCUUUCACAUGGACUGCAUGCAUCUUAUUGCAGCUGGUAUCCUUCAAUGAAGCCCACCCACAGCAAUUACAAAGACAAACUCAAUCCCAUCCGAAGGUAGCACCUGGAGGUCAGCUCGUUCAAUUCUGCUAAAAACUAGAAGUAGAAAGGUUCCAACACAAACUGUGACUCGUUUGCAUCAGCACUACCAUCUGAAGUUGUAUUGUUUGCCAAUAAGAAUUUCUAUGACGGCAUGUUGGCCGGAGCUUAUAAAUUA